rnacentral:snRNA from 1 species
GUGCUUCCGGUGACCUCACUUCGGCAGCACAUAUACUAAAAUUGGAACGAUACAGAGAAGAUUAGCAUGGCCCCUGCGCAAGAA